CGAAAUCGGUAGACGCUACGGACUUAAAAUCCGUUGGCUUUUUAGACCGUGAGGGUUCAAGUCCCUCUACCCCCA
rnacentral:tRNA from 3 species